CCAGCUUGUGGGGUCUGCCAGAGUCCUUAGCUUCCUGGACAUCUGACCACUUCUCUCCAGUCCUCUGGCCAUCCAUUCUCGAGUAUCUAGAGCAGAUUUUUCCUGCAGUAUAAGGAAAUGCUACAUUUAUAUCCAUUAGAGUUCAACCUGCUGCAUUGAGCCACUCUGGUGAACCUGUUUUAAGUUGUUCUCCUCUAAAAGGCUGCUUUCAGCAAAGCUCACAUCCUCAGGCUAGGCCUUCAGCUGUUGGAUUUGGAGAAACAGUUCCUUCCUUAAACAGAGGUAUUAUGUCCACACAGCAGAGAAGGAAACUGAGGCUCAAAAGAAGAGACACCUAUAGAGCUACUAAGUGAGAUACCAGGUCCAGCCAAGACCCAUGUUCUUGUCCCUGAGAGGCUGGGCUGGGUCUUGUACUUCUGCCCUCCUCCCACCAUACUGUCCUUCACACGGGGAGGAAAACCUCCAGCUCCUAAGACAAAUGGAGGGGGCACAUUGACAUUCUGCUCUAAUGGCUUCUUCCUCAACACGACCAGAUUCCACGAGACUGCACAGCUCUACCCACACAGCACAGCAUGAUCUCUGAUGAUGCAGGCUACAAAGGCAUUUACCGGGAGCUGGAGCAGAGCAUCAAAGCAGCUGAUGCUGUGGAGGACCUGAGGUGGUUCCGAGCUAACCAUGGGCCAGGCAUGGCUAUGAACUGGCCACAGUUUGAGGAGUGGUCUGCAGAUCUGAAUCGAACUCUCAGCCGAAGAGAGAAGAAGAAGGCUGCUGAUGGUGUCACC
rnacentral:lncRNA from 1 species